UACGUAGGGUGCAGGCGUUCAUCGGAAUUACUGGGCGUAAAGCGUGCGCAGGCGGUUUGCUAAGACAGGUGUGAAAUCCCCGGGCUUAACCUGGGAACUGCGCUUGUAACUGGCAAGCUUGAGUGUGGCAGAGGGGGGUGGAAUUCCACGUGUAGCAGUGAAAUGCGUAGAGAUGUGGAGGAACACCGAUGGCGAAGGCAGCCCCCUGGGCUAACACUGACGCUCAUGCACGAAAGCGUGGGGAGCAAACAGG
rnacentral:rRNA from 1 species